UACGAGCGGCCCAAACGUUAUUCGGAUUUACUGGGCUUAAAGAGUUCGUAGGCCGCGCGGAAAGUAGGGUGUGAAAGCCCUCGGCUCAACCGAGGAACUGCGCUCUAAACUACCGUGCUUGAGGAACCUAGAGGUGAGCAGAACUGAUGGUGGAGCGGUGAAAUGCGUUGAUAUCAUCAGGAAUACCGGAGGCGAAGGCGGCUCACUGGGGGUUUUCUGACGCUGAGGAACGAAAGCCAGGGGAGCAAACGGG
rnacentral:rRNA from 1 species